UACGUAGGGUGCGAGCGUUUGUCCGGAAUUAUUGGGGCGUAAAGAGCUUGUAGGCGGUUUGUCGCGUCUGCUGUGAAAUCUCAAGGCUCAACCUUGAGCUUGCAGUGGGGUACGGGCAGACUAGAGUGUGGUAGGGGGAGACUGGAAUUCCUGGUGUAGCGGUGAAAUGCGCAGAUAUCAGGGAGGGAACACCCGGGUGG
rnacentral:rRNA from 1 species